rnacentral:rRNA from 1 species
GGACGAACGCUGGCGGCGUGCUUAACCCAUGCAAGUCGAACGGAAAGGCCCUGCUUUUGUGGGGUGCUCGAGUGGCGAACGGGUGAGUAACACGUGAGUAACCUGCCCUUGACUUUGGGAUAACUUCAGGAAACUGGGGCUAAUACCGGAUAGGAGCUCCUGCUGCAUGGUGGGGGUUGGAAAGUUUCGGCGGUUGGGGAUGGACUCGCGGCUUAUCAGCUUGUUGGUGGGGUAGUGGCUUACCAAGGCUUUGACGGGUAGCCGGCCUGAGAGGGUGACCGGCCACAUUGGGACUGCGAUACGGCCCAGACUCCUACGGGAGGCAGCAGUGGGGAAUAUUGCACAAUGGGCGGAAGCCUGAUGCAGCAACGCCGCGUGCGGGAUGACGGCCUUCGGGUUGUAAACCGCUUUCGCCUGUGACGAAGCGUGAGUGACGGUAAUGGGUAAAGAAGCACCGGCUAACUACGUG